rnacentral:rRNA from 1 species
UACGGAAGGCAGCAGUGGGGAAUAUUGCACAAUGGGCGCAAGCCUGAUGCAGCCAUGCCGCGUGUAUGAAAAAGGCCUUCGGGUUGUAAAGUACUUUCAGUCGUGAGGAAGGUGUUAAGGUUAAUAACCUUAGCAAUUGACGUUAGCGACAGAAGAAGCACCGGCUAACUCCGUGCCAGCAGCCGCGGUAAUACGGAGGGUGCGAGCGUUAAUCGGAAUUACUGGGCGUAAAGGGCACGCAGGCGGUUAAUUAAGUUGGAUGUGAAAUCCCCGGGCUUAAACCUGGGAAUGGCAUUCAAGACUGGUUAGCUAGAGUCUUGUAGAGGGGGUAGAAUUCCGAUGUGUAGCGGUGAAAUGCGUAGAGAUGUGGAGGAAGUACCGGUGGCGGAAGGCGGCCCCCGUGGACAAAGACUGACGCUCAUGUGCGAAAGCGUGGGGA